rnacentral:rRNA from 1 species
GAUGAACGCUGGCGGCGUGCUUAACACAUGCAAGUCGAACGGAAAGGCCCAAGCUUGCUUGGGUACUCGAGUGGCGAACGGGUGAGUAACACGUGGGUGAUCUGCCCUGCACUUCGGGAUAAGCCUGGGAAACUGGGUCUAAUACCGGAUAGGACCACAUUUUGGAUGGUGUGGUGGAAAGUUUUUCGGUGUGGGAUGAGCUCGCGGCCUAUCAGCUUGUUGGUGGGGUAAUGGCCUACCAAGGCGUCGACGGGUAGCCGGCCUGAGAGGGUGUACGGCCACAUUGGGACUGAGAUACGGCCCAGACUCCGACGGGAGGCAGAAGUGGGGAAUAUUGCACAAUGGGCGCAAGCCUGAUGCAGCGACGCCGCGUGGGGGAUGACGGCCUUCGGGUUGUAAACUCCUUUCGCUAGGGACGAAGCGUUUUUGUGACGGUACCUGGAGAAGAAGCACCGGCUAACUACGUG